GUCUUGUGCGGAACACUCAAAGGGGAGCCAUCUAUCCACCUCUGAUAACAGUUGCCUAUAGUGAUGUUCUCAUCCAGAAUCCCAAUGCUGAGAAUAUAAUGGUUUCCUUCUCAGUCGACUAUGAAAUGAAUCAAUCAGAGGCUCACAUUCACACUGAUAUAGCACUAGGUGUUCUGGGCGGCCUGGCAGUUCUAUGGUCCCUUCUCAAGACUGCUGGCUGGAAAAGACGUAUAGGAAGCCCCAUGAUUGAUUUACAGGUAUGAACCGUUAUC